rnacentral:SRP_RNA from 1 species
GCUGGGCGUGGUGGCGUGCACCUGUAAUUCCAGCUACUCGGGAGGCUGAGGCAGAAGAAUCACUUGAACCCAGGAGGUGGAGGUUGCAGUGAGCCGAGAUUGUGCUGCUGCACUCCAGCCUGGGCAACAGAGUGAGAUUCUGUCUCAA